GUGAGGUGCUGGAACAGGUUGUCCAGACAAGUUGUAGAUGCCUCAUCCCUGGAGGUGUUCAAUUUGAUGAAGGAUGAGGCCCUGAGCAAACAGAUGCAGUAACUGUUACAGCAGAGGGCAACCCUGCCUGUGGCAGGGGAGUUGGAAUAUGAUGAUCUUUGAGGUCCAUUGCAAACCAAGCCAUUUUAUGAUACAACAAGGAAAAUGCAUUACAGUUAUAUAAACAAAAUCACAGGUGUAAUGGAAAGAGCUAGGUGGUGUACUCUAUUGCAAGGAGAGCCAGACAGUGCCAUGUAUUCCAAAGAGAUCCAGUUGGUGCGGUAUACUCCAAAGAGAGCCAGGUGUCUGUGUUGGGGACCUAAAGGCCCCUGACUGAAGAAUGAUCCUAGGAUGGAACAAAGUAUUCUGACAGUUUUAAGUGAAGUGGUAUUUGUGGCUCUAGCCACAAAUAUGACUGUGCGUAUGUUGAAUAAAACCCAUAACCCUGUGCUGCUCUAAGUGCAUAAUUUGCUUGCCUCUGCUCCUGAGACAUCCUGUCUCUCAGAUCCAGUUGUACCUUGAAACAGCGGCAUGGUAUAUUCCAAAGAGAGCCAGGCGGUGUGGUAUAUUCCAAAGAGAGCCAGGCAGCUUGGUGUUUUCCAAAAGGAGGCAGGCAGCAUGGUAUAUUUAUUUCAUAAAAGAGGCAGGUGGUGCAAUAUAUUCCAUAAAUGAGGCAGGUGGCAUAGUAUGUUCCAUAGAAGAGGCAGGUAGCACAGUACAUUCCAUAAAAGAGGCAGGUGGUGUGGUAUAUUCCAUAAAAGAGGCAGGUGGUGUGGUAUAUUCCAGGAGGAGGAAGACGACACAGUAUUUUCCAAAAAAAGACACAGGCAGUGUAGUAUAUUCCAAAUAAGAGGCAGGUGUCUUAGUAUAUUCCAAAGAAGAUGCAGGUGGCGUAGCAUAUUCCAAAGAAGCUGCAGACAGCAUAGUAUAUUCCAGAGAAGAUGCAGGCAGUGUCACAGAUUCCAAGAAGAGGCAAGCAGAGCAGUAUAUUCCAAAAAAAAAAGAGGCAGGCAGUGCAAUAGAUUGCAAAAAAGAGGCAGGCAGCCUAGUAGGUUCCAAGAGCCAGGUAGCAUAGUAGUUUCUAAGAAGAGCCAGGUGUUGUAGUAGAUUCCAAGAAGAGGCAGACAGCAUAGUAGGUUACAAGGAGAGGCAGGCAGCAUAGUAGAUUCUCAGAAGAGCCAGGCAGCAGCCCUGUCACGAUAGCAAAUGUUGCUUGAGCAUCUACCAUGUCACUGCUGUGUCCCUAUAUUCUUAUAAUAGGCAGUAUUGUAAUAGAGCAGUGCUCAGGGAAGCUGCCCAUCAGAGAACCAAACCCUAUGGGUUUUCAAUAAGCACAAAGAAAUAAAAUGAGAAGAGGAGGCCAUGAAGGUUCUUUUAAGGCCCAAAUGCUCAAUGUAUUACUUAUCCACUGGUGAAAACGAUACUCUGAUACAGGUCUUAUAGGGGAGCAAGCUGGUGGGAAGUGUAUUGGUUACACCUACAUAAAGGAGAAAGAAAGAGACCUUGAGUUCAUUUGAACUUACAAUCAAACAAAACUUUGGACAGAUAUUUGGGACUUUCUUCAAAAUCAUCAACCCAGAGAAGGGAUGAUGGUAAGAUUUGUACCAGCUCUUCAACUGUGCCCUACACUUCUGCAAUACAUGAUGGUGCCUUCCAACUUAACGUUUUACUGGAGGGGUUAUGUUGUAUAUUAAGAAACUACCUGACAUUACAAAGAUGUGUACCGACUGAGCCCAAGAAGAAACUUGUUUUGCAUUGAAACCACUUUCCUACAUAUGAGGGCACUCAGAGUAGCAGAGGCUGUGCCCAAGUGGCUUGAGGCUGCUCAGCACUACAUUGCCCUUUGCUCUCUCUCAUCAGGUAGGAUGAGGGAGAGAACUGGAAAUGAAACAGAAACCGUGGGCUGAGAUAUUAACUAUUUACUACAAACGAAGAGGAAAAUGGUGUCAAAAAU
rnacentral:lncRNA from 1 species